rnacentral:rRNA from 1 species
CUCGAGAGAGGUAAGGGCAGUUUGAGAACAAGACGUAGAUAGGCCGCAGGUGUAAGUACUGAGAAGUAUUGAGCCGAGCGGUACUAAUAGCCCGAGGCUUUG